rnacentral:antisense_RNA from 1 species
CUUGAUGGAGCCCAGCAGCAGCGGCUGCUCACGGUCCUGGCCGUAGGUGGCCAGCAGGGCCUGGGCCUC